AUGUUGGCGGUUCGGUGCGCCGCAAGGAGGCUCGGUGGCUCCCAGCUGCAGCGAACGCAGGCGGCGGCCGCGCAGGAGGGACGCCGGCUUGUGCCAAGCGGCUUCAUGCGCUCCCGCCAGCUCGCCACCAAGCCUGCUUGCGAGACCUGGAUGCAAAAGAAGAUGCAGAAGCUGAGAUCUAUGUGGGCCCAGUACAAGGCGGACAUAGAGAGAAGGAUGAGGGAACCUCCAGAAAAGGAUGAGUUUAAGUUGCUUGUCGAGUCCUACGCACGUACGAUUGAUGGUGUGAUCCAUGGAACUGCCAAGAUGGCACUUCUCAUCCUUGUUCCAGUUGGAAUUUAUGCUAGCUACACCAAGGAGGGGGUAGAAGCACAGGCUGUUACCAAGGGAGACCAGUGA
rnacentral:rRNA from 1 species